rnacentral:rRNA from 1 species
AUGAAACUAAAGAAUAGGUUUUUCUUUUUUGAACGGCGGUUCCAAAAAUGGUACUCCAAGUUGAAAAAGUGUAUUCGUAAAAAUACCUGGAACAAACAUACUUAAUUUUCCAUAGUACAAUCUUAUUCUUUAAUAAAAUCACGAUCAUUUUCUAGUGGCAGUGAGGAUUGAAAACAAAAGGGUUUUCAUGGGCAACAAACAAACAAAUAA